CCAGAAGACGUCUUUUUGUUAGGAUGACGUUAUCUGGUCCUGAGCUCCAGCCGCGGUGAGACUGAGCAUUUUGUGAGACUGCACCGGCAUCUUGAACAAUGACUGUCUUGGUAUAGAGAAUGACUUUGCAGACUGUGGUGAAAUAGACGUCAUAACCGGAUCCUGAGCGAAGUUUCCAGACAUCAUGGUGACACUGCGGAGACCUGAAGGGGGCAGUACCUUUUGGCCGCCUUUGUGCCCAAUAACACACGUCUCAUUAAUAAGACAGCCAAAGGUCGUGACCCCGAAAAAUGAUUCACUCAAGACUUUUAAAGACGCUUGCAGGCGCAGAACAUGACUGCAUGGAAA